UUAAAUUGAAGAGUUUGAUCAUGGCUCAGAUUGAACGCUGGCGGCAGGCCUAACACAUGCAAGUCGAACGGUAACAGGAAGCAGCUUGCUGCUUUGCUGACGAGUGGCGGACGGGUGAGUAAUGUCUGGGAAACUGCCCGAUGGAG
rnacentral:rRNA from 3 species